rnacentral:lncRNA from 1 species
AUGAGCCCCGAGCCCGCCCGCGGCACCUCUCAGCAUUCUCCUGCGGGCAGGGUGCACGGCGCUGCCGGGCAGGGGCUGCUGGUGGCUGUGCCCCCCCGGCUGCCCCCAGCACCGAGAGCUCCCGAGCCCUGCCAACGGUGCUGGGCUGGCGUGGCCGCGAUCCUGCACACAAAUGGGAGCAGCUCUGAGGCUAUUCACUGGAUUGCCAGGAAUGAGAGGGAGGAGGCGGAUGACAACAUGUUUCCAGUGCCUUGCUUUGCACAGAUAUCCUCCAGGCAGCAUGUGUGCGUCUGCAAGGGGCUCAGUGUGCCUCUCCCCGCUGCUUCCAAACAAGGAUCAAGUAAACUUUCCAAAGCAUAUUCUCCCCCGUCAAACACUACUCUCACUUUGGAGACUGUCCAUGGCUUUGACACUCCUGUGGGUUUUCUACCCACAUCCUUGUGCCAAAGACUCCCUGGCGGGAGCAGCAGGUUGUACUUGGCUUUUGAUGGAGAGACGGGAGGCCGCUGGCGCCCAGCCCCACGCCCGAGCCCCGGCUGCCAUCGCAGCGGCCGAGGGGACGUGCCCCAGGACUCGGCUGCCCGGCCACCAGCAGCAGAUACAGGGGUGGGCAAGCCCCACAGACAGAGCCCACCGCAGCUGGCAGGUGCUGGUGCCCCCCAACACGAGCACCCAGCGGCCCCACCUAUGCCGGCAGCCACGCAGCCCCUUCUACCCACACGUGGGGCUCCUUCCAAAACCCAAACUUGGAGACCCAGAGCCAUGGCUCUGACCCCACUCCCCACAGUCCCACUGAGCUCCUCAGCAGCAGGAGAGCAGCCCAGAGCCCUGGGGUCCUGGAGCAACCCGAGGACAAGCCCGGGGCCAGGGACACCCCAGGGGUGGCACAGGGAGGUGGGGAGGCUGCGGCUGGCUCAGCACAAAGCCCCGGGGGAGCCCAAAUUGGGGGGAGCCCAGCUGGGAACCAGGGGACCAGCAGCCCUGCAGACAGCAAGUGGCAGCACAGAGGGCUCACAGCUGUGCCACAGGAGCUGCCUGGGCCCUUCUGGGCCCUGA